rnacentral:misc_RNA from 1 species
AAGUCGUAACAAGGUCUCCGUAGGUGAACCUGCGGAAGGAUCAUUACCGAGUUUACAACUCCCAACCCUUUGUGAACGAACCUACCAGUUGCCUCGGCGGCGAGCCCCUGGGCGGACCGCCGGAGGAAUACAAACUCUUUGCAUUAUAGUAUCUCUGAUUACUUAUUCAAUAAGUUAAAACUUUCAACAACGGAUCUCUUGGUUCUG